rnacentral:rRNA from 1 species
GGCUCAGGACGAACGCCGGCGGCGUGCUUAACACAUGCAAGUCGAACGAUGAUGCUCCAGCUUUGUUGGGGUGGAUUAGUGGCGAACGGGUGAGUAACACGUGAGUAACCUGCCCUUUUCUUUGGGAUAACGGUCGGAAACGGCUGCUAAWACUGGAUAUUCACUCAUUGGCGCAUGUUGGUGGGUGGAAAGGUUUUUUCUGGKGGGGGAUGGGCUCGSGGCCUAUCAGCUKGUUGGKGGGGKGAUGGCCUACCAAGGCUUUGACGGGUAACCGGCCUGAGRGGGKGACCGGUCACAUUGGGMCUGAGAUACGGCCCARACUCCUACGGGAGGCAGCAGUGGGGAAUUUUGCACAAUGGGCGCAAGCCUGAUGCASCGMCSCCGCGUGAGGGAUGAAGGCCUUCGGGUUGUAAACCUUUUUCGYUCAUGGUCAASCCGCASCUUUGGGUUGUGGUGAGGGUAGUGGGUAAAGAAGCGCCGGCUAACUCCUUGCCACCAGCCGCGGUAAUA